rnacentral:rRNA from 1 species
UAAUUCGAUGCAACGCGAAGAACCUUACCUGGUCUUGACAUCCACAGAACUUUCCAGAGAUGGAUUGGUGCCUUCGGGAACUGUGAGACAGGUGCUGCAUGGCUGUCGUCAGCUCGUGUUGUGAAAUGUUGGGUUAAGUCCCGCAACGAGCGCAACCCUUAUCCUUUGUUGCCAGCGGUCCGGCCGGGAACUCAAAGGAGACUGCCAGUGAUAAACUGGAGGAAGGUGGGGAUGACGUCAAGUCAUCAUGGCCCUUACGACCAGGGCUACACACGUGCUACAAUGGCGCAUACAAAGAGAAGCGACCUCGCGAGAGCAAGCGGACCUCAUAAAGUGCGUCGUAGUCCGGAUUGGAGUCUGCAACUCGACUCCAUGAAGUCGGAAUCGCUAGUAAUCGUGGAUCAGAAUGCCACGGUGAAUACGUUCCCGGGCCUUGUACACACCGCCCGUCACACCAUGGGAGUGAGUUGCAAAAGAAGUAGGUAGCUUAACCUUCGGGAGGGCGCUUACCACUUUGUGAUUCAUGACUGGGGUGAAGUCGUAACAAGGUAACCGUAGGGGAACCUGCGGUUGGAUCACCUCCUUA